CACUCCUACGGGAGGCAGCAGUGGGGAAUUUUGGACCAUGGGGGCAACCCUGAUCCAGCAAUGCCGCGUGAGUGAAGAAGGCCUUCGGGUUGUAAAGCUCUUUUGUCAGGGAAGAAACGGUGGUGGCGAAUAACUACUACUAAUGACGGUACCUGAAGAAUAAGCACCGGCUAACUACGUGCCAGCAGCCGCGGUAAUACGUAGGGUGCAAGCGUUAAUCGGAAUUACUGGGCGUAAAGCGUGCGCAGGCGGUUGUGUAAGUCAGAUGUGAAAUCCCCGGGCUCAACCUGGGAAUUGCAUUUGAGACUGCACGGCUAGAGUGUGUCAGAGGGGGGUAGAAUUCCACGUGUAGCAGUGAAAUGCGUAGAUAUGUGGAUGAAUACCGAUGGCGAAGGCAGCCCCCUGGGAUAACACUGACGCUCAUGCACGAAAGCGUGGGGAGCAAACAGGAUUAGAAACCCUAGUAGUCCC
rnacentral:rRNA from 1 species